AUUUAUAGGAAUAUUUAAUUA
rnacentral:snRNA from 1 species